AUGAUAGAUGUUUUGGUGCAAAAGGGUCCUAAAAGAGACUCAUCUAUUCAGCAUGGUAAAAAGGACAAAUUGUCUAGAAGGUUUUCUACAGUAUCAUAUACUAGAGUUCUCUCAAAUGGGGAAAAGUGUGACAGAGAAUGGCUUGUGUACAGCAAAGAUCUUGACAAGGUAUUUUGUUUUUGCUGCAAAUUAUUAAGAAAAGGGCUCGUGAGAGGGCAGUUAGCAAAUGAAGGUUUCAGUGACUGUGCUCAUCUUGGUCAUAGACUUAAAGAGCAUGAAACUAGUAGAGAACAUGUCAUAAAUAUGACUACAUGGUAUGACUUGCGCCUUAUGUUGGAGAAGAAUCAAACAAUUGACAAAGUUGCUCAGCGAGAACUUGAGAAGGAAAAGGAACAUUGGAGAAAAGUUUUUCUUAGAAUCCUCUUGAUUGUUAAAUUUCUUGCAGAACACAAUAUAGCAUUCCGUGGUAGUAAUAGUAAGUUGUACCAAGACAGCAAUGGAAAUUUCUUAGGGCUUGUUCAAAUGUUGGCUGAAUUUGACCCAGUUAUAAAAGAGCAUGUUGACCGCAUCACGAAUGAUAAAAUUCCUGAUCAUUAUCUUGGUCCCUCCAUACAGAAUGAGUUAAUCAAUUUGCUCGCUGCUGCAAUCAAGUCGAAAAUUAUUGAGAAGGUAAAAGAAGCAAAGUACUUCUUAGUUAUACUUGACUGUACUCCUGAUGCAAGCCACCAAGAACAAAUGUCUUUGAUAAUUAGGUAUGUUGAUGCAUCUCUAGAUUCUUAUUGCAUUGAAGAAUCCUUCUUAGGUUUUUUGGAUGUGAAUGAUACCACCGGGCAAGGAUUGUUUGAUGUUUUACAGAAGGAAUUGAAGAGUCUUGACCUUGAUGUAGACAAUGUGAGAGGUCAGGGAUAUGAUAAUGGGUCGAAUAUGAAAGGAAAAAAUAAAGGAGUACAAAACAAAGUAUUGGAAAUAAACCGAAGAGCCUUUUAUUCAGCUUGUGGUUGCCAUAGUCUGAAUUUGGCACUAUGUGAUAUGGCAAAGUCUUGUCGUAAAGCAACGGAUUUUUUUGGAGUUAUCCAGCGUAUCUAUACAAUAUUUGCUAAUUCUACUAAGAGAUGGCAAAUUCUGAAAGAUAACAUACCAGGAUUGACUCUCAAGUCAUUAUCAUCUACUCGUUGGGAGAGUCGUGUUGAUAGUGUUCAGGCUAUAAGGUUUCAGCUACCGGAAAUAAGGGAGGCCUUACUGCAAGUGGCUGAAAGUGAUAAAGAUUCUUCUGACACAAAGUGAAGCUCAAUCAUUGGCGGAGAAUGAACUUGGUGGCUUUGAUUUUUUUUAGUAUCAAUUAUCAUCUGGUAUGAAAUAUUAUCCGCUGUUAAUUUGAUUAGCAAAGAGUUACAGUCAAAGGAUAUGCUUAUUGAUAUUGCAAUUGAAUCUGUAAAAGGCUUGCUUUCCUUUUUCAAAAAGUAUAGAGAAACUGGCUUUUCAAAAGCAUUGGAAGUUGCCAAAAAAAUUGCAGUUGAGAUGGAUAUUCAUCCAGAGUUCCGCACCAAGCGUAAAAUCAAAAGGAAAAAACAAUUUGAUGAGGGUGAAGAUGAUGCAUCUAUCGACUCACAAUCUGCAUAGGAGUCAUUUAGGGUCAAUUAUUUUAUACGUGUUGUUGAUCAAGCUAUAACUUCACUUACCAUUAGAUUUGAAUAAUAUGAGGGGUAUGAAAAGAUAUUUGGUUUCUUGUUUACUUCAGAUAGGCUGCGAUCACUAGAUGACAAGAGUUUGAUGGCUGCUUGUGUUAAUCUUGAAGAUGCACUUAAGAGUGGAGAACAUACAGAUAUUGAUGGAGUUGAAUUGUGUGUGAGCUAA
rnacentral:rRNA from 1 species